rnacentral:tRNA from 1 species
GGAGAGGUGGUCGAGUCUGGUUUAAGGCGCCGGUCUCGAAAACCGGUGUGGGCUUUGCUCACCGAGGGUUCGAAUCCCUCCCUCUCCGCCA